rnacentral:rRNA from 1 species
GAUGAACGCUGACAGAAUGCUUAACACAUGCAAGUCUACCAAGAAUCACUUCGGUGAGGAAUGGUGGCGGACGGGUGAGUAACGCGUAAAUAAUCUGCCCUUUAGACUGGGAUAUCCUUUGGAAACGAAGGUUAAUACCGGAUAUUAUGAGAUGGACGCAUGUUCAACUUAUGAAAGCUAAAUGCACUAGAGGAGGAGUUUGCGUCCCAUUAGCUAGUUGGUGAGGUAAAGGCUCACCAAGGCCACGAUGGGUAGCCGGCCUGAUAGGGUGAACGGCAACAAGGGAACUGAGACACGGUCCUUACUCCUACGGGAGGCAGCAGUGGGGAAUAUUGGACAAUGGACCAAAAGUCUGAUCCAGCAAUUCUGUGUGCACGAUGAAGGUCUUCGGAUUGUAAAGUGCUUUCAGUAGGGAAGAAAAAAAUGACGGUACCUACAGAAGAAGCGACGGCUAAAUAUGUGCCAGCAGCCGCCGUAAAAC